AGAGAUGGUGGUGGCCCUAGCUGCUUGGUCAGCCCUCCUGUUUCUCUGAGCAAUUUCAUCUUGACCCUUCUGGUGGCCCCAGCAAUGAACUACAGCUACUUUCUGUGGUAGGUGGAUAGGCUGGACUAGGGUAAAAAUCUGUGACCCAUAUUUAAUAGGGGUAUUCUCUGUUGUAAAAAGUCUCCUUUCUUCCCAGAUGGCUGCAUAAAUGUGGAGUACUAAGAAAGCAUAUUUGAGGGCAUGGUGGCUCACGCCUGUAAUCCCAGCACUUUGGGAGGCUGACUGGGUGGAUCACUUAAGGUCAGGAGUUUGAGACCAGCCUGGCCAACAUGGUGAAACCCCGUCUCUACUAAAAAUACAAAAAUUUUUCAGGCGUGGUGGGGCGCACCUGUUAGUCCCAGCUACUCAGGGGGCUGAGGCAGGCAAAUUGUGUGAACCCAGGAGGCGGAGGUUGCAGUGAGCCGAGAUUGCACCACUGCACUCCAGCCUGGGCGACAGAGCAAGACAACGUCUCAAAAAAAAAAAAAAAAAAAAAAAAAAGCACAUUUGAAGUCUGUAUUAAAUAGUAACUUUUUGGUUCUUUCUUAGUUCUAGGGGUUUGGUCAGAGCUGUGAGUUCUGACUGCUCGGCUGAGGUUCCUAGAGAUAAAUUUAAAGUUUUAUAAACAAAUAAAAACCUAUUUGGGGAGCCAGUGUAAGAUAAUUGGUAGCAUUUAGGCAAAACUGAGAAACAGGCACAAAGGAAACUAAACUAAUAGAGUCAAAUAUUUAACUCAAGAAAUAAAUUUGUAUUAUAACAGUAAUAAAGUCAUAAUGUACUAUGUGAGUUUGUAGUAAAUAAUAUUUAAUUACAUUACAGCAUUUACUGACUACAGGUAUAGGUAAAAAUUAUGCUAUAAAUAUUCUGAAUUGCUAAAGGGGUGGUGAAGGACAGUUGAAAGGAAAGCUGUUCCCAAGUACGUCAGUAUCGAAGGGCAAUUCUAGAGUUUAUAUGGUUUAAAUACAGGAAGUAUUUCUCUUUUCUGUAUAUUUUAUACGUUUUGCACACACAUAUAUGACAACAUUUAACAAUUUUUGUUAAAUUUUUAUUAAGAAUGUGUUUAAGAUAAUCAUGUAUUUUGUGUCUGAAGAGGGAUUUUACUGUAAUAAGUGUUAUCUCUAGAGUCAAAGUUGCCUGUGUUGUGAGCAAGUCAUUUUUCUCUAUGGCUGUUUCUUUCUCUGUAAAAUGAGGAUAAUAAUACCUAUGCUAUUAAUUUUCUGUGAAAAUUAAUUUUUUUUUUUGGGCAGGGGGGAUGGAGUUUUGCUCUUGUCACCCAGGCUGGAGUGCAAUGGCAUGAUCUUGGCUCACUGCAAUCUCCACCUCCCAGGUUCAACUGAUUCUCCUGCCUCAACCUCUUGAGUAGCUGGGAUUACAGGCGCCUGACACCACACCCAGCUAAUUUUUAUAUUUGUAGUAGAGACGGGGUUUCACCAUGUUGGCCAGACUGGUCUCAAACUCCUGACCUCAUGAUCCACCUGCCUUGGGCGCCCAAAGUGCUGGGAUUACAGGUGUGAGCCACCACGCCUGGCCGAAAAUAAAAUUUAUUAACACAUAUACAGUAUUAUGGUUAGCAUUUGGUAGAAAUCAACUAUUACUAAAACAUGUAUAUACGGAAUUCCAAUACAUGCUUUAAUACAGAAAUAUCUUCUCAUCACGUGAGUUUUUCAACCAAGAAAUGAAUGUAUUUUUCCAAAAACGUGGUAUACACAAGGAAAUACAAUUCAACGUUAAAAGGGAGGAAAUCUUUUCAUUUGAAACAAUGUGGAUAAAUGUGGAAGACACUAUGCUAAGUGAAAUAAGCCAGAGAGUAGAAUGCUGGUUACCAGAUGCUUGGGUAUUUACAAGAAAGGGGCAUCUGGAGACAUGUCUGUAAAACAACACAUAGUUGCCUAGGAGGAAUAAAUUCAAGAAAUCUAUUGUACAGCAUGGUGACUACAGUUAACAAUAAUGUAUUUUUGGAAAAUGCUAACACAGUCAAUGUUAUGAGCUCUUAUCCCAAAAGUAAUUAUGUGUGGUGAAGUAUUUGUUAAGCAGCUAGAAUUAAGCUUUUGACAAUGUAUAUAUACUACAAAACACCAUAUUCUACAGGAUAUUUUAUCUGUCAAUUAACAAAUAUAUUUUAAAAAUUACAGAAUAAUGUUGCAAAUGAUGAGUAUCUUUGUCAAACAACUUGAGUAUUAUAAAAAAUAUAUAGUUUUUGUGCUGUUUUUGUAAUAUAAUAACCAUAGAGGCUGGGCGCAGUGGCUCACGCCUGUAAUUCCAGAACUUUGGGAGGCCAAGGUGGCAGGAUCACAGGGUCAGGAGUUUGAGACCAGCCUGGCCAACAUAGUCAAACCGCAUCUCUACUAACAAUAUAAAAAUUAGCCAGGCAUGGUGGUGCACACCUGUAAUGCCAGCUAAUAAGGAGGCUGAGGCAGGAGAAUCGCCUGAACCUGAGAGGCGGAGGUUGCAGUGAGCUGAGAUCGCACCACUGUACUCCAGCCUGGCGACAGAGCGAGACUCCGUCUCAAAAAUAAAAUAAAGAAGAAAAUAAUCAUAGGAACUCUAAUAUUUACUAGCAUGGCUUAGACCCAGAACAAUAUAUAAUACAAGACAAUACACUCUAGAGCUCUUACUUUUAAGCUUGAAGUACCUGGAAUUUCUAGUGCUGAUGGUAAUCAUACAUAUGUAAGACACUAAAAGGGCAAGUGAUGCUAAAGGUCCCAAAAUUGGCCACUUCGUGAACACAGUAAAUGAAUUUGCAUCAAAAAUCACUGAGAGGCUGGGCACAGUGGCUCACACCGGUAAUCCCAGCACUUUGGGAGGCUGACGUGCGUGGAUCACGAGGACAGGAGCUCGAGACCAGCCUGGCCAACAGAGUGAAACCUCAUCUCUAUUAAAAAUACAAAAAUUAGCUGGGUGUGGUGGUGGGCACCUGUAAUCCCAGCUACUUGGGAGGCUGAGGCAGGAGAAUUGCUUGAACCCGAGAGGUGGAGGUUGCAAUGAGCUGAGAUUGUGCCACUGCACUCCAGCCUGGGUGACAGAGCAAGACUCCAUCUCAAAAAAAAAAAAAAAAAAAAAAAAAAAUCACUGAGAAACUGUUUGGAUUCAACAGCUGCCAUAAUCUUCAAAUUUUUUUCCAGAGAAGGUGACCAAGGACUUGGAUAAAGUUAGGUGAGUAAAAAUGAAAACUGUAGCCCAUGAAAUGCAUCCACUAAAACAAAGAAUUAUGAGAAAUUCCUCAAGAUUGUAAUAUGAAUCUGGACAAAAAAGAUCAGUGCAGAUUUUGAAUCUACAGAGAUCAUUCUAUUGUUUUUCCACCAUUUAACAUUCACACUCAAAGAUAUAAUAUUCUGGCCAGGCACGGUGGCUCAUGCCUGUAAUCCCAGUACUUCAGGAGGCCAAGGCAGGCAGAUCAUGAGGUCAAAAGAUCGAGACCAUCCUGGCCAACAUGGUGAAACCCCAUCUCUACUAAAAAUAUAAAAAUUAACUGGGCGUGGUGGCAGGCGAUUGUAGUCCCAGUUAACUCAGGAGGCUGAGGCAGGAGAAUCACUUGAACCUGGGAGGCGGAGGUUGCAGUGAGCUGAGAUUGCACCACUGCACUCCAGCCUGGUGACAGAGUGGGGCUCCAUCUAAAAUAAAUAAAUAAAUAGAAGAUUUUGUAUGGAAAAAUGUUUUGCUAUGUCACAGAAAAUUAAAUGUAAAAUUCCUCACUUACCAUUGUCUCCUAAAAAUUUUCUUCUUUUUUGUUGUUGUUGUUGAGACGGGUCUUACUCUGUUGGCAUACAUAGCUGGGGAUAAAUCAUAAAGAUAUCACAAAACUGAAGAUAAUUAGAAAAUAAGAAAAGAAAUCCUCUUUACAUUCAUAAUGAGUUGGUUCUGCAGCCUGAGAACAGACGUCCUCUCCACAUGCACAAUUAAUGCCAUUUGUUCGCCACAGAUUAUUUUCAAUCUCUUACUUGGAGCUACAAACUAACUCCAGGAAUAUUUAUGGCUAAUUAUGAAGCAUCUAUUACACACCCAGAACUUUGUUUGUUCACUACAAUAAUAGAUCAAAACAUCCCCAUGACUGACAAAGUUUUCCAAGUACUUACCUGAACAAAUUGGCAAAAUAAACUCAUUUAUGUCAAUUACAAAAACUGAAAGGAACAAUAACUAAAGAAAACAGCUUAUAUAGGGUUCUUAAAUUAAAACAACAAAAUGAAAUGUUCUAACUAAAAUAACUUAAUACAUAUAUUAUGAAAUUACAUCUAAAAAUUUUACAUUCACUACAUUUUAUAAAAAUCAUUCUUAUAAUUUCUGACCAGCUCACAUAAUAAACACUUCAUGAAGUGAAAACAAAAAAGAGAAUCAAAGAAAUUAUAGCUCUAGCAUGAGCACCAGACAAAUAAAAACAAGGAGUUUGUAUGGGGAGAUUCUCAACGACAAUCCAUUAGAUUCUAGAGUCAUUAAAUAAAAAGAAGAAAAUAUAGAAUGUUUCAGGCUUCUAGAUUUCCAGUAAAUUAUCCAUGGUAUUAACAUAAUCUUCUUUGUUCUAAUAUUGCUAUUUUCUUUGGAAAAUAGGUACAAACUCACAUAAACACAAUUGCUUGCUCUAUAAUUUUCUUACACCUAAGGUUUAUCUUUACAGCAACACAUUUACAUACUUAACUUCAUGUAAAUGGAACUAAAGUUUGUAUAAGUUUGCAGGAAAAGAUGCCACAUGUUCAAAGAGAAAUGUAAAACAUUUUUUAGAAGUAUUCAGGAUGCAUAAAUGUAUGAAUUAUAAUUAUACUGAUAUAAUACUACAAUCAUAAUUGUACAUUUAGAAAUAAUUAAAGUGUAUAAUUGGAUUGUGUGUAAUACAAAGGAUGAAUGCUUGAGGUGAUGAAUAACUCAUUUACUCUGGUAUAUUACAUGUUGUAUGCCUGUAUAAGAAAAUAACCCAUAUAUGCCAUAGAUAAAUAUGCAUACUAUGUACCCACAAAAAUUUCGGAAAAUAACAAGAGUGAAAAUACAACAUAUGGGAAUGAUAUUCUUCAAUGUAUUUGCUAUUUAAAGCCACUGGAAAAAGAGAAUACUAAAAAUGUCAUUCAACUAUGUUACCAUUGUUACCAUCUUUUACCUACACCAUUGAGUAAGGUGGGAUAGGUUUAAGUUGGUGGCAUAAUGACACUUCAUUCAAGCAACAAUUAUUUCAACACGUUAAAAAUUUUGUUUAGUUAAAAAAUUAUGUUCCCACAUAAUCUUAAAAUAAUUUUAAAAUUUACUGUAUCUUAUUACAUAAAUGUAUAAUUGGUAAAACAAUUUACUACUAAAACAGAUUUUCUCUCACUAUAAUGCAGAAGAAUAUUACUCUGAACACCUACCUCAUGCAUCACUCAAUAUUGUCAACUACAAAAAAGCCUCUCUGCUAGAUUUUCAUCAUGGAUCUUUCAUUUCUGUCCUCACUCUUUCUUGUAAAAAUUCACAAAUAAUGCCCACCUAAUGAAAAAGAAUCUCUCUUAUCUCUGAUGCAGCAACAAUUCAUCACAUGCUUUCACAUAAACAGGAAUGUUGAAACAGUAUGAAAUAAUUUGAGUUGAAUUAACUAUUAUAUGCUUUUCAAAAAAUCUAUACUUUUUUCAAGUGAAAAAAUAUACUUUAAAUGUAGUAUCUCUUCAAAAAUCUUCUUUUCAACUUAUAUACAAAGAAAUUCUCUAAUAGGUUCAACUUUGGAUUUUUUUAAUACUUAAUACUCUGAUUUACUGCAGUGUCUAAAGUGUUAGUUCCUUAGUUCUUUCUACUGUAAAUCCUCUGAUGUUUACAUACUCUUCUUUUUAGACUAAAUAUUUCUUCACAUUUACUGCAUCUACAAAAUAUUUUCUAGUGUAAACUGUUUAAGCUGCAGUUUUUGAACAAAUGUUUUUCCACAUUUAUUACAUUUGUAGGAUUUCUCUCCAAUAUAAAUUUUCUGAUGUUGAAGAAAGUCUCCUUCAGUGUUUUCCCCUAUUAUAAAAUGUGUACAACAAAAUCCAUGAGAGAAGUACAGGUACUACAACCCUCUUUAUAUUUGUAUUGUUUGUCUUAAGAAUACUCUUCUUCACUUUAAAGGCCUAUAU
rnacentral:lncRNA from 1 species